AGUCCCAAAAAACAGGUGUCUCACUGUAACUCAACUGCACAGCUACACAGAGUCCGAGGGAGGCCGAAAGGGUCGGGAUCCAAGAAAGAUUCUAGUAAUGAAGACCAUUCUCCUAAGAAAAGAGGGAGACCCAAGGGGUCCUUGAACAAAAGCACACUUGAGAAGGCUGCUGCCAGUCAAGAUGAUGUGAG